rnacentral:rRNA from 1 species
AUUGAACGCUGGCGGCAGGCUUAACACAUGCAAGUCGAACGAGUGGCGGACGGGUGAGUAAUGCUUGGGAAUCUGGCUGAUGGAGGGGGAUAACUACGGGAAACGGUAGCUAAUACCGCAUACCAUCGGAUGAGCCCAAGUGGGAUUAGGUAGUUGGUGGGGUAAAGGCUCACCAAGCCGACGAUCCCUAGCUGGUCUGAGAGGAUGACCAGCCACACUGGAACUGAGACACGGCCCAGACUCCUACGGGAGGCAGCAGUGGGGAAUAUUGCGCAAUGGGGGCAACCCUGACGCAGCCAUGCCGCGUGAAUGAAGAAGGCCUUCGGGUUGUAAAGUUCUUUCAGUGGGGUGGCGUUACCCGCAGAAGAAGCACCGGCUAACUCCGUGCCAGCAGCCGCGGUAAUUC